CAAUGAAGACUCCAGUGACACUCAAGAAUACUUUAUAGCUGAGGAAGAUGAACAUGUGAAGGUUAAAGAGGAGGAAGUUCCUAUGGAGAUCAGCACAGAUGGGCGAUACAGGAAGUUCACCGCGGAGGAAAAC